rnacentral:piRNA from 1 species
UGUCCUCUCAGCUACACGGAGACCCAA